UUUUCAAAAAAAGAAAAAACCAAAAGAGCAUUUUCGUUCUUUUGGUUUUCCAAAUUUUACAUUUGUAUUAGAUCUGGGGAGCAGAAAUUUUGAAUAAUGUCAUCAUCAGCUCGGCUGUCCGAUCUCAAAUCCAUAAUUAACGAACUGCUGGAGGUUAAGGGAUGUAGCGCCAGUCCGUUGUGUGAUGGAAACUUGUUCGUUUAGAGCGCCACUAUAUUUGGCCCCGAUGAGACUCACUGGGGAGAUCCCUUCAUCCUUUAUCUGUACUUCUUCAGAGUUGAUGCUUGAGAAUGAAAAUAGUGAAGGGAAAGAAUCUCAUCUGUUACUACAUAUUUAAAGAGAUGGCAUUUCUUGCUGUUUUUAUGCGGAGUGGAUCAUCUCGAAAUCCUGUGAUCCUAGUUCCUUUCUAACUCAUGGAACAUAUAUACUUAGUUCUGUAUGAUCUCUCAAUUAUCAGUUGGUGGUUAAAUUGAUGGCAUACUUUUAGGUUUGCUUGUCAAGUAGGGUUGAAAUUUCAGUAGGAUAUAUUAUCCGUUGUUUGACUUUCUCUGUUAUUAUCAUCAGGCAGGAAGAUUCUGUUUUUUCUUUUAUUUAUGUGAGAAAUUCAGAUCAAAGAUCAUUGCUGCCAAUAUUUAUAUGAUUUUAGAAGAGAUAAGUAUUAGUAGAAUUGAGGACAUGUGGUGGAAAUGAAGAUUAUUUUGGAGUAUUAUGAAAAGAUCAAAAAGGAUGGUGCUACAAACAGCUUUCCAUUAAUGUGAUGCCUGUCUAUCUUUUGGCCUUGCAACAGUGUAAGCAAAAGAUAACAUCCUACAACAGGAUUCCAAAAAAGAGACAAAUUGAUUAAUAGUAGAGGGAAAGAGCUUUUUUAUAUUUACUAAUUAGAGGUGGGAAAGAGCCAACCAUAAUCACGUCUACAAUCAGAAAAUGUGAUGUUUUGAGCUGAAGGACUAAAACAAGGGAAGAAAACAGGAAAUUAGACGUGUUAUUCACCGGCAAGUAACUUGAUGUACUUCUUGGUUUUGUGAUUCUGAAGACUUUUGUACAAUCAUGUUUACUAAGAAGAGUGAUGUUGUUCCUCACUAAUUAUCAUUGAUGUUAACCAAGUUAAUGAACUUAAAGGACUUUGCCCAAGUUGUUUAAUGUAUUCCCAUGUUGAACACUUUAAAAUAGCCUUCUAUCCCUAACAUUGGAGGCAUAUUUUCAGGA